CGGCCUAUACAUGCAAGUCGAGGGUGAUUAUCGGAUUCGUCUGAUAUGAAACCGGCGCACGGGUGCGUAACACGUAUGCAACCUACCUUUAACUGGGGUAUAGCUCAGAGAAAUCUGAAUUAAUCCCCCAUAACACUACGACAUGGCAUCAUGAUGUAGUUAAAGCUCCGGCGGUUAAGGAUGGGCAUGCGGUACAUUAGCUAGUUGGUGAGGUAAUGGCUCACCAAGGCUACGAUGUAUAGGGGGUCUGAGAGGAUGAUCCCCCACACUGGUACUGAGACACGGACCAGACUCCUACGGGAGGCAGCAGUAGGGAAUAUUGGUCAAUGGACGAAAGUCUGAACCAGCCAUGCCGCGUGAAGGAUGAAGGCCCUCUGGGUCGUAAACUUCUUUUAUUAGGGAAGAAACCUCAGGAUGCGUCCUGAGCUGACGGUACUUAAUGAAUAAGGAUCGGCUAACUUCGUGCCAGCAGCCGCGGUAAGACGAAGGAUCCAAGCGUUGUCCGGAUUUACUGGGUUUAAAGGGUGCGUAGGCGGAAAAUUAAGUCAGUGGUGAAAGCCCGCAGCUCAACUGUGGAACUGCCAUUGAAACUGGUUUUCUUGAAUAUAGCUGAGGCAGAUGGAAUAUAACAUGUAGCGGUGAAAUGCUUAGAUAUGUUAUAGAACACCGAUUGCGAAGGCAGUCUGCUAAACUAUUAUUGACGCUGAGGCACGAAAGCGUGGGGAGCGAACAGGAUUAGAUACCCUGGUAGUCCACGCCCUAAACGUUGAUUACUCGCUGUUGGCGAUAUACUGUCAGUGGCUAAGCGAAAGCAUUAAGUAAUCC
rnacentral:rRNA from 1 species